rnacentral:rRNA from 1 species
UCUACGGGUGGCAGCAGUGAGGAAUAUUGGUCAAUGGGAGAGAUCCUGAACCAGCCAAGUCGCGUGAGGGAAGACGGCCCUAUGGGUUGUAAACCUCUUUUGCCGGAGAACAAAACCCGGGACGCGUCCCGGACUGCGUGUAUCCGAAGAAAAAGCAUCGGCUAACACCGUGCCCGCAGCCGCGGUAAAACGGAGGAUGGGAGCGUUAUCCGGAUUUAUUGGGUUUAAAGGGUGCGUAGGCGGUCAGGAAAGUCCGCGGGAAAAGGAGGGGGCUCAAACCCGGCGAGGCGUUGAAACGGGCGGACUGGAGAGGGCGAGAGGUACGCGGAAUGCGCGGUGUAGCGGUGAAAUGCAUAGAUAUCGCGCAGAACCCCGAUUGCGAAGGCAGCAUACCGGCGCCGGACUGACGCUGAGGCACGAAAGCGUGGGUAUCGAACAGGAUUAGAUACCCCAGUAGUC